AUGCACACAGUGCCAGACGGAAGAGAAAACAAGGAGAGGAAUGAAACGCUCUGCACGACCCCUGCGUCAGAGCUGGUUUGGGUUUGGGUGGGCGGCAUUCCGGGCUCCCGGUUCACGUUCUGGCCGGCCGACGCCUCCCUUCAAAGCACGCGCGCUCUGCAGUGGAGAAAGUCAAAGCCACGCCGGAGUCUCAGAAUCUUUGACGAACUCUCAACAAGUCAAGCACGCACGCGCACGCACACGCGCGCACCCACACGUGCCCCCAUUCCCCCCCGCUCGCAGACUCAUGUUGGCCCACGCUCUCAGGCCGGCAGAGGGCUUUCUGUGUGGGGAGUCAGGGAUGGGUGUGGAAUUCUCUGUCGAGCACUAUUUCAGGAGGUCGGGUGUUUUCUGGCCGCUCGGCCGCCGCGGUGGGGUCGCCUGGCAGCCAAGGGAAGGCUUGGACCGGUAGCCCCCUUCCCCAGAAGGGCCGUCUGGCCUACACAGAGCUGGGCUGUGUUGAGCAAGCCCGGCGCCUCCCGAUUCCAGAGGGCGGUUCCCGCGCCAGCCUUCGUGUGGCUGUGUGGCCAGCAGCGUGCUCUGUUUGCAGGGGCUCCGGGAGGUUUGUGGGCGUGUGGGCAGCGCUCUGUCCUGCCUGGAGCAGGUGUCCGGAGCCUCGAUUGCGCUCCUCGAUCGCAGCGCGUCUUUGACUUGCGGGGCUCUGGCCACAGGGAUCUCUCCCGGGCGGAUCAGGAAAGGGAAAGAAGCUGAGAAGGACCCCGAGCAGAAGCAGCCCCGGCCGGUGCAGCGAGAUGCAGGGACUCCCUGCAACAUGCAAGGAGGGCAGGUGACCCGGUGAUUGCUCUGGGCGCAUUUCUGCUCCGCAGAGACGCUCCGCAGGAAGGACCGGCCUCCCCGGUCUGGACUGGACGAACUGCCCCCCUGAACGCUGCCUGACCCCUUGCUCCCUCUGAGCCACCGUGGGGGGAUUUUGGGGGGCAGGAAUGCGAAAAGGGGCAUGUGAUCCUGAUGUAAAGGAGCAAAUCACCCACAGGCUCUAAUCUCAUUUCUUGGAGUUUUUGCUUUCGGGACAAUAUACCAGCCUGACACCAGCCCCGUGUUCGGAACUCAGUGACCACCACACCAGCACGCAGUUCUGUCAGGAGGGCUCAGCCACUCGGGUGUCUGUCCCCAGGCCUCAUCUGGGAGGCUUGCAGGAGAGAUGCUGAGGCAGGUUUCCCAGUGGAGGGCAAAACUGUUCCCCCACACUCAUCACUGUAUUCACUUUUUCUUUUUUUAUUAAAUUUUUUUAAAUGUUUAUUUUUGAGAGAAAGAGACAGACAGAGUGUGAGUGGGGGAGGGGCAGACAGAGGGAGACACAGAUUCCGAAGCAGGCUCCAGGCUCGGAGCUGUCAGCACAGAGCCCCACACAGGGCUCGAACUCACGAACUGCGAGAUCAUGACCUGAGCCGAAGUCGGACGCCCAACCGACUGAGCCCAGGUGCCCAUGUACGUUACUCUUAACAGGGGGACCAUUUAUGCCAAGAAGGGAGUCAUGGCUAGAGAAGGUGUCACGGGUCAGAGUAAGGGGCUCAGACAGGGUCCCCCCACCCGCACCCCUUCCCCGUUCUGCUGGGGAUGGAGCCCCGGACGCUGUUUCCAGCUUGCAUGGCUCCAGGUGACCAACCAGAAGACGCUGUUUUCGCGUCUCCAAGGACAUCCGUCCCACUGCUGGCAAGACAAAGUCCCUUACCUGGUGGACAGUGGGUAU
ensembl:lncRNA